GAGAAAGUUGGGUGUCAGGAAUCUCUGAGGGCAGUUGGGUAACCGAAGUGAUUCUGAUGGUGCUUAGGACGUAAGAGUACCUAAGCGGGUUAAGGUGCCUCUGAGAGGCCUUUGGGUAUCUCUCAGGGGUUCAGGUAUCUGAUGGAGAUUCAGGGUAUCUCUUUGAGGAGUUCAGGUAUCUCUAAUGGGGGUUUAGGGAUCUCUGAGUCAGGGAGAGGUAUCUCUGAAGGGGUUUUGGUAUCUUUGAGGAGGAUUCAGCUAUCUCUCAGGGGUGUUGGGUAUCUCUCCAAUUUGGUUCAGGUGACUCACAGAACGUUUCAGGUAAUUUGGGAGAGGGUGUUUCUCAAAAGGAUUUGCAUUUCAGGUAUCUUUUAGAGAAGUUCUGGUUUCUUUUAAAGCGAUUCUGGUCUCCAUUCUAAUGAGACUACGUGUAUCUGAAGGGUUAUAACUCCUUCAUCUGACUAGGAGCAUCUUUUAGGAAUGUGUAGGUUUUUUAAAGGGGUUCAAGUAUCGCAAAGGAGGUUUUAAAUAUCUCUGAGGGUGAUUAGAGGAAGUGAACGGAAAGAAAGUCUCCUUGAUGCUUCUGAUGACUCAAUUUGUUUGAGUUGAUGAGGAACAGGAAGCGGUCACACCAAACGCUAAAAACUUAGGGAGAGGCACUCACUCUGACCGAUUUCUGCAAGCUCAUACUUGGUGCUUUGGGUGUUUCUGGUUGCUGUGAGGAGUGGGUGGUCUGUCUAACAGAGAGGAUCUCUGGCCGCAGCAGUAGAGGAAACUUGGAGCUGCAGAGUGAAGUUUGUCAGAAACAGGAGGAUCUUCAUCACUUCAUCACUCUGUUUCUCUCUGGCGUCUGAUCAAACCAGUUGAUUUCUGUGGUCUAUCGAUUCUGGGAUCAUGAAGGACCAAAACUAUAAGGACGAGGUGACGAAGAUUCUGGAGGAAGCUCCAAGCGCCAGGAAAGCUCUGCAGGAAAACUAUCAAAACCUGCUCAAUGUGGCCGAUUACUGCUACAACACCUACACCCAGUCAGGUGAAAACAGCAAGAAAGCAUUGGAGGAAACUAAAAACUUUACCACCCAAUCAUUAGCCAGUGUUGCGUAUCAGAUCAGCACUCUGGCUAACAACGUCCUGAGUCUGCUGGAUGCUCAGACCAAUCAGCUUCGCCAGAUGGAGUCCUCCAUAAAUUUGAUUGGUCAGACCAUAGAAAUGCAUAAAGAGAAAGUUGCACGGCGGGAAAUAGGUGCCUUCACGGCAGUCAGACGAGUUCCUCGCAACCAUAAGAUCAUCCCUCCAACUGGCACGCAGCCCCGCCCAUCGUACAGCCGCCGACCAAUCAACUACCAGCAGCUGGACGAGAUCGGCCACGGCAUUAAGGUCUCUGGGAAACAGCCGGAGAAAACGGGAACGAUCCGGAAACACGGAGCCUCCAUCAGGUCCAACAAAGCUCCUGAGCCAGUUCAGUGCCCAGUGGCUCCCCCUGCUGGAGGGUCCAGCUUUGGGAAACCUGUAGCUCCGCCCACCAUUCCCCCCAUUGGCCAAGCUCCACCUGACUGUAACAUCCUCACCAGUUUGCUGGAUGAAGCUCCACUUCCUCCUCCUCUCCCUGACGAGGAGUUGCUUCAGAGUGGGGACGUAAUCUCCGGUCUGCCUCCUCCUCCUCCACCUCCUGAUUCCUCAGGACUGAUGGUGGCUCCAACGGCACCUCCUCCUCCGCCUCCUCCUUCUGGCUCCUCAGGGGUUGUGAUCAAUCAAAGCGCUCCUGCUCCUCCUCCACCUCCUCCUCCUCCUCCUCCCUCUUCUUCUGGGGUUGUGAUCAAUCACAGCGCUCCUGCUCCUCCUCCAAUUGCACCGCUCACCCUAGAAACAGUGGUGGAGGAGAACAGCCUGCCGCCUCCUUCCCCUCCCCCUCCCUCUGAUAAUAAUGGCUUCCCGCCAUUACCCAAUGAUGGCUCAGAUUUUCUGGCCCCGCCUCCACCACCUCCACCUCCCCAGGAAGGAGACGUGACCCUCACAUCUCGGAGGAGUCGCCGCCGGCGCUCACCUCCAGCCACUCGCUCUGUCUCUCUGAGGGUCCGCUCGGGCCCCGCCUCUCGCUGCCGCUACACUCGCUCUCUGUUCUUGCCUGCAGUCCAGUCAUGUAAGCUGCUGUCGUCCAAUAAGAACUCAGGAGAGGCUGGUGAUGGAUCAGUGAUUAGUUUUAGGAUCUUCAGUUUGUUCAUCAAUAACCCAAUUAUAGUUCUCACCCGUGUUGGGUUAUAUUCCUGGAGUGACUGAAGUUGGAGGACAUUUUAGGAAAAUGCCUGUCGUGUGACCCAUCUCACAUCUGAACCAUGGAUGUUCAGAUGUUUAUGAAUGGUCCAGAUACUGAUUAAAACUUCAGAUGUAAGUGUAGAGUUUAGAAUGUUCGGAUACUAAUGAACAGUUCAGAAUGUUCAGGUACUAAUGAACAGUUCAGAAUGUUCAGGUACUAAUGAACAGUUCAGAAUGUUCAGGUACUAAUGAACAGUUCAGGGUGGUCAAUUAUUAAUGAACAGUUCAGAACACUCAGAUGUGGAUGAACAGCACAGAAUGUUCAGAAUUUGAACAGUUCCCAUGGUUCAGAUGUCUAUGAACAGUUCAGAAUCAUGUUCAAAUGUGAUGAACAGUUCAUAAUGUUCAGAUGUGGAUGAACAGUUGAGAUGUUAAUGAACAGUUCAGAAUGUUCAGAUGCUGAACAGUUCCCAAGGUUCAAAUAUGGAUGAACAGUUCAGAAUGUUCAGAUGUUGGUGAACAGAUUAGAAUAUCCAUAUGAACAGUUCAUGUCGGUUUCAGGCCAGAUUUUGGCUCCUGGUUCUCUAAACUGACUCGGCUUCUCUCUGUCUGUCAGUCAGGAUUCCCCCUCCUCCUCCUUACCCUCCCCCUCAUGCCCCCCCGGAGCCCAUCGCCUCUUCAUCCUCCUCUCCCUCUUCCCCCUUCCCCCUGCUCUCUCGCUCUUCCUCCGCCUCCCCUCGGCUCUGCUUACCUGCUCGUCUUGAACACCUGGAUCUUCAGAUCUUAGCCCCGCCCCCUCCUCUUUCAUUGGAUGAUAUUGGAGAAUUUGAUGACAUCAUGCCGCCCCUUCCUCCUCCAGUGGAC